AACGAACGCUGGCGGCAGGCUUAACACAUGCAAGUCGAACGCCCCGCCAGGGGAGUGGCAGACGGGUGAGUAACGCGUGGGAACAUACCCUUUUCUACGGAAUAGCUCUGGGAAACUGGAAUUAAUACCGUAUACGCCCUACGGGGGAAAGAUUUAUCGGGGAAGGAUUGGCCCGCGUUGGAUUAGCUAGUUGGUGGGGUAAAGGCCUACCAAGGCGACGAUCCAUAGCUGGUCUGAGAGGAUGAUCAGCCACAUUGGGACUGAGACACGGCCCAAACUCCUACGGGAGGCAGCAGUGGGGAAUAUUGGACAAUGGCCGCAAGCCUGAUCCAGCCAUGCCGCGUGAGUGAUGAAGGCCUUAGGGUUGUAAAGCUCUUUCACCGAUGAAGAUAAUGACGGUAGUCGGAGAAGAAGCCCCGGCUAACUUCGUG
rnacentral:rRNA from 1 species